AUAGCGGAGGAAAAGAAACCAACAGGGAUUGCCUCAGUAGCGGCGAGUGAAGCGGCAAAAGCUCAAAUUUGAAAUCUGGCGUCUUUGGCGUCCGAGUUGUAAUUUGAAGAAGGUAUCUUUGGGCCCGGCUCUUGUCUAUGUUCCUUGGAACAGGACGUCACAGAGGGUGAGAAUCCCGUGCGAUGAGAUGACCCGGGUCUGUGUAAAGUUCCUUCGACGAGUCGAGUUGUUUGGGAAUGCAGCUCUAAGUGGGUGGUAAAUUCCAUCUAAAGCUAAAUAUUGGCGAGAGACCGAUAGCGAACAAGUACAGYGAUGGAAAGAUGAAAAGAACUUUGAAAAGAGAGUGAAAAAGUACGUGAAAUUGUUGAAAGGGAAGGGCUUGAGAUCAGACUUGGUAUUUUGCAUGUUGCUCUCUCGGGGGCGGCCGCUGCGGUUUACCGGGCCAGCAUCGGUUUGGAGCGGCAGGAUAAUGGCGGAGGAAUGUGGCACGGCUUCUGCUGUGUGUUAUAGCCUCUGACGAUACUGCCAGCCUAGACCGAGGACUGCGG
rnacentral:rRNA from 2 species